CAGUCGCCGCGGUAAUACGGAGGGGGCUAGCGUUGCUCGGAAUUACUGGGCGCAAAGGGAGCGUAGGCGGACAUUUAAGUCAGGGGUGAAAUCCCGGGGCUCAACCUCGGAAUUGCCUUUGAUACUGGGUGUCUUGAGUAUGAGAGAGGUAUGUGGAACUCCGAGUGUAGAGGUGAAAUUCGUAGAUAUUCGGAAGAACAUCAGUGGCGAAGGCGGCAACCUGGCUCAUUACUGACGCUGAGGCGCGAAAGCGUGGGGAGCAAACAGGAUUAGAUACCCCUGUAGUCCCUGUCUCUUAUAC
rnacentral:rRNA from 1 species